rnacentral:rRNA from 1 species
AUGGAGCUGAAGGCUAAGCCGGCGAGGCGCGGAAAGAGGACCAGGGCAAGCGGCGGCACAGCGGUACCGGUGAAGAAGGAGUUGGAGAAGGAGAGGAGGCAGCGCAUGAAGGCGCUCUGCGAGAAGCUCGCGUCCCUCAUCCCAAAAGAACACUUCCCCCACACUGAUACAAUGACCCAGCUAGGCAGCCUGGAUGUGGCGGCAUCAUACAUCAAGAAGCUCAAGGAGCGGGUCGAUGAGCAACAACACAAGAAGACCUCUAUACAAGCCAUUGCUACCUUACUAGGAGUUAGUGGCAUCUCGACUCCCAGUAUCACCGCUACCACGAGCGGUGGCGCAGGGUCAGAAGGAGGAGAAAAAUUGGAGGCAUGGCCACUAAUGGUGGAGGUGCGGCAACCCGGCGAUGCAAGCAUGGAGGUGAGACUGAUAUGCAGCGCGGAGAGGCCUAUCAAGCUCCAUGAGGUGAUCACCAUUCUUGAGGAAGAAGGAGCCAUCAUCAUCAAUGCUAAUCACUUUGUUGCUGCCCACAGAAUAUUCUACACUAUACACUCCCGGGCCUUCAGCACUAGAAUUGGCAUAGAUGUUUCAAGAGUUUCCGAACGUCUGGGAGCAUUGGUA